UACAGAGGUCUCAAGCGUUGUUCGGAUUCAUUGGGCGUAAAGGGUGCGUAGGCGGCGCGGUAAGUCGGGUGUGAAAUUCUUGGAGCUUAACUCCGAAACUGCAUUCGAUACUGCCGUGCUUGAGGACUGGAGAGGAGACUGGAAUUUACGGUGUAGCGGUGAAAUGCGUAGAUAUCGUAAGGAAGACCAGUGGCGAAGGCGGGUCUCUGGACAGUUCCUGACGCUGAGGCACGAAGGCCAGGGGAGCAAACGGG
rnacentral:rRNA from 1 species